UGGAAUGGGUACUGCUGUCUAGUGAUGCAUGGCUUGUGUGUAACUCCACGAGGGAGGAAAGGAGAAAUUCAGUGAUAUAAUUAAACGUAAGGAGCAACAUGGAGUUUUUGAAUAUAUUUGAGAGUUCUGCUUCUAGGAGACAAGAUAGUGGAGUAAGAAUUCUAGGUAUAGGUGGUGGAGUCUCUGGACCUGGGAGCUUAAGCCAUAGCAAUUUAGGAGCCAAGAUUCCAGGUUGGAUGGUGCUGCCAGCCACAAGGGAAACCCAAAGCCAGAGUUCUGAGGUGCAAGCCCAAGAAGACCUUGAAAUUGGAAUUUGUUAGAACUGUGCUACAUAAGGCCUGAAUUGAGCUGAGAACCUAAUUCUUUCCUCACUCCAGAAACUGAGGUGGUAUUGGGGGAUUAUUCUCCCCAGGUGGUGGAGAGAAAGUUUGAAUGUUUGUUUUUGCUAUAUCUUUAAAGUAAAUAUAUAAAAGCUCAUUUGUUUAGUGGUUAUAUAGAACUGAGGUGUUAGGACCCCCUAAAAUUGAGAAAGCAUACUUAAUGGGAACUUUAGGCAACAGCAAGAGAGACUAAACAUCCCUGGACCUCCUUAAGGAUACCAGAGAACUCUAGGGGAAAGGUGAAAUAUAACAUACACGUCCUUCAGGUAGUGGGGGCCAAUAUAGUUACUGUUACACCAAUAAAAUCUUAUCUCAUAGAUCUGAUCACUAAACAACUUUUAGUAAUUUGAUUAAUUGCUUCUUACAAUUGCAGAUUAGUGGGAGAGCCAGGACUUGGAUUCAGGUCUCCUGGCUCCCAGUCUAGCAUGCUUCCAUUGUCCUUUUUUGCUUCUAGGCUCCUUCAAGCAGGCUCUGAAAAAAAACCAAGUAUUUUCUAAGGUUCAUUUGCACGUGUGUAAAGCUAAGCAAUUUAUUCUUUUUUUUUUGUUCCGUGCUCCAUUCUGAAUGUCUCCUUUAUUUGUACAGUGGAGACAGGGAUUAUUAAUGACCUGGUGACUGAGCAAUGACUCUUUGGAAAGCAGAGGAAUUGCCUGUUUGGAGAUACUAAUUCAAGCACAGCAGGCAGUAUUUACAUAAUCUAUUUGGUGUGCACUGAGUUGAGAAAAGUACAGCUGUCUCCUGGUAUCUCUUCUGUACCUCGUACUUGGUUCCAGAAGGAUGGGGAUUCCAAUGAAUUGUGCUAAGUUGGCCAAUUGACCUGUCAGAGUUAUUGGCACUGGCUGUCAGUAGUGGCCAGAAUGUUUCACUCUACCCUAUAUACCAGGAGGGUUGCCAAAGGAAUAUUUUCCAGGAUCUCUGCCACCUGUCCUUUACAGAUCAAGAAUGAGAGACAAAGCAGGGGUUUGGAAUUAGGCUCAGUGUUUGUGGGCUCUCAGUUAGAGAAUGUAAUUAACAUGAGGAAAAAAUGCUGUUACGAGGUGAUAGGAACAGGAAAGAAAUUGGGAGGUUGGGGGCCAGUCACCCCACUUGGGAAGCCCAGGAAUGAAAAGAUGGUUUGAGCCCUUGUUUGAGAGUUAGGAAAGCUGGAUUCUACUCCCAGCUCUGCCACUAACUCUUUAUGUGGUUUUGAGUAAAUUGCUUCUCCUGUGUGGACCUCCAUUUUCUCAUCUGUCAAAGUCAUGGUAGAACAAGAUGAUCUCUAGGUUUCACUCCAGUUCUGCAAUUCUACUAUUCUGUGAUUUCAGAGGCUCUGGGAAAGAGGACAUCAGUUUGAAUUUUAUAGACUAUAGCCUGUGUUUAAAGGAGGGAAUUCCCUAUUACCUCAAUUGAUUUAGUGAUAGAAAGUAGUCACAUAUGAUGAGAUUUUAAGACAUGAAUGAGAUGUGCCUGCAUCCUGAUCCAGUUGAGAUUCCAAUGCUUUUCUAUGUAGGUUCAAGAAGAGAAUAUUAUGACUGACAGAAUAAGCAUGUUAACCAGUUAAGAUUAAAUAAUAUAAAUCUGUAGUGAACCUAGUCAACAUUGUUUCAUGAUUUUCUCCGUCUUCAUUUAGCAGUACAUAUGGUAGGAGCGAAGCCAGCAGUUUUUGGGAGAGAUCCAAAGCUGAGGUUUGGCAGGGCAAGCUUUUCAAUAGGACAGGGGGCAAGAGACUAAAGAGAAGAAAAUAUAGAGUUGUACUGGUUUACCAAAGGGACAAGAUUGGGGAAGGAGGAGAGUACAGCUAGUGCAAGGGUGGUAGCCUGGGAAAGAGGUGAAAAGUGGAGGAAGUGGAGGUCAUGGUGAAGAUGAAGAAGAGGCUUUGGGGUUGCAAGGCAGAAGGAGAGGUGGAAUAACAACAGAUUGUGAUGAGAUAAAGAAAUUUAGAGUUCAUGAACAUGUAAGUGGUACAUUUGGGGAUAAUACCAAUGCCAAGGGCAUGACCAUUUCUGUGUGCAUCUGAGGUAGGGUAGAAGAGUAGGUCAUGGAAAAUGAGCAAGUUGUAGAACUAGGAGAUUAGAAUAUUUACAUGAGUAUCAGUAUGUAUGUUGAAGUCCCCUAAUAAGAGAACAGGAGUUGGAGAAAGGAGAAAGACUGGGAGCCAGGACUGAACUCAUCGAGGAAGGGAGGAAUUUCCUGGAGAUUAGUAGACAAUUUAGCUACCAGAAUCUCGAUUGGGUGAUAAAUCAGGAUUGUAUGAACCUCAGAGGAAAAGAGGUGAAACUAUGUUUAAUGCUGGAAAGAAUGGCCAAGUAAACUGUAUCAUUGGGAGGGAGAUAGUUGUUCAGUGAGUUCAAGAAGAUAGAAAGAGCAGAAAAGGAAAAGCUUUAAGAUAAAGGCAAGUUUGUUACUUAUGGAGCAGGCAUUUCAAAGAGCACAGUGGAAAGAGUGGGUAGCGUUCAGUGGAACUUUGGAGGAAUUGGGUUGGGGGAUGGAAAUGGUUA